UCAGAAUCAACGCUGGCGGCGUGCCUCAGACAUGCAAGUCGAACGAUUAAAGCUCUCUUCGGAGAGUGUAUAGAGUGGCGCACGGGUGAGUAACACGUAAGUAAUCUACCCUCGAGUGGGGAAUAACAACCGGAAACGGUUGCUAAUACCGCAUAAUGCAGCGGCACCGCAAGGUGACAGUUGUUAAAGAUUUAUCGCUUGAGGAGGAGCUUGCGGCAGAUUAGCUAGUUGUAGGGUAACGGCUUACCAAGGCUACGAUCUGUAACCGGUCUAAGAGGACGGUCGGUCACACUGACACUGAAUAACGGGUCAGACUCCUACGGGAGGCAGCAGUCGGAAUUUUGGGCAAUGGGCGAAAGCCUGACCCAGCAACGCCGCGUGAAGGAUGAAGUAUUUCGGUAUGUAAACUUCGAAAGAAUAGGAAGAAUUAAUGACGGUACUAUUUAUAAGGUCCGGCUAACUACGUG
rnacentral:rRNA from 1 species